CACGGAGCAGUUCAGAAAGAAGGAAGACUCUGUUCUUGACCACCCAGGGACAAGGGCAGCCACAGAGCAGAUGAGGAGCAUGAUAUGCUAGCCUGCAGACUCCAGCCAGCUCGCUCCAAAAGGGAGCAGGAGAGAGGAGGAAGAGACCGGGAGGGCUGGAGUGGGGGAUGGAGAGAGAAGAGGAGGUGGAGGCUGUGAUCCAGCUGUAAUAGUCCCAGCUGGAAACAGAAGCCACCCUCAAGCUGGAUAAUGGAGGCGAAUUUAAUAAAGGCACCAUUGACAAGGUGGAGGCAAGAGGCAAGGGGAGAGAGAGGGGACCGAGCGCCACCCCAGAGCCUGCAGCAACCCGGGGCUGCCACCCUGCCUAGACCUGAAGGUCCUCUAAAGCCACCGCACAGAAGUCAGCCUCUUAGCCUUCGUCGUGUCGCCCGGAAACACCGCGCUCUGUUAGAAGACAGGAUAGAAACGACCGAGUGACUAAUCUAAAUUAAGCACUGAUGUAGCUCAAUUCUGUCAUCGGACUGUACAUUUUUACGUGGGUGAAUGGGAUGGUAGGCGGCUAACAUCUCAAUAACACCUCAAAUAUAGAAAAUAACAAAAAAAAAUUUUUUUUGAUAGAAAAUAUGCACCUUCCAAACUUCCAAAUUCUAACACCGGUUGUCUCCAACAGGUUGGGAUUAUGGAGCUUGUGAUUUUUUUCUUAUUAAUGUGUUUCAAUUGUUUUCCAAAUAUUCUACAAUUUGAACACUAUUUCUUAAUUAAAAAUCCAUUCUACUGUCAUGUAUA
rnacentral:lncRNA from 1 species